rnacentral:rRNA from 1 species
UACGUAGGGUCCGAGCGUUGUCCGGAAUUAUUGGGCGUAAAGAGCUCGUAGGCGGUUUGUCGCGUCUGCUGUGAAAUCUAGAGGCUCAACCUCUAGCGUGCAGUGGGUACGGGCAGACUAGAGUGCAGAAGGGGCAACUGGAAUUCUCGGUGUAGCGGUGAAAUGCGUAGAUAUCGAGAGGAACACCUGCGGCGAAGGCGGGUUGCUGGGCUGACACUGACGCUGAUGCGCGAAAGCCAGGGGAGCGAACGGG